CCUACGGGAGGCAGCAGUGAGGAAUAUUGGUCAAUGGACGAGAGUCUGAACCAGCCAAGUCGCGUGAAGGAUGACUGCCCUAUUGGUUGCAAACUUCUUUUAUCAAGGAAUAAAACGAGGCACGUGUGCCUUUUUGCAUGUACUUUAUGAAUAAGGAUCGGCUAACUCCGUGCCAGCAGCCGCGGUAAUACGGAGGAUCCGAGCGUUAUCCGGAUUUAUUGGGUUUAAAGGGAGCGUAGAUGGGUUGUUAAGUCAGUUGUGAAAGUUUGCGGCUCAACCGUAAAAGUGCAAUUGAUACUGGAAGUCUUGAGUACAGUUGAGGUAGGCGGAAUUCGUGGUGUAGCGGUGAAAUGCUUAGAUAUCACGAAGAACCCCGAUUGCGAAGGCAGCUUACUAAACUGUGACUGACAUUGAUGCUCGAAAGUGUGGGUAUCAAACAGGAUUAGAUACCCCUGUAGUC
rnacentral:rRNA from 1 species